UAUGUAUCUAUCCAUCUAUUCAUCUGUCUAUCCUGUAUGUAUUUAUCCAUCCAUCCAUCUAUUCUAUCUCUCUCUCUCUCUAUUGUCUAUCUAUCAUCUAUGUAUCUAUGUAUCUAUCCUAUCUAUCUAUCCAUCUAUCUAUCUAUAUAUCUCUAUCUAUCUACAUCUGUCAUCUGGGUAUCUAUGUAUCUAUCCAUCCAUCUAUAUAUCUAUCAUCUAUGUAUCCAUCCAUUCAUUCAUCCAUCCAUCCAUCAUCCAUCCAUCUAUUCUAUCAUCUAUGUAUCUACAUAUCCAUCCAUUCAUUGUAUCUACCAUGUAUCUAACUAUCAUCUAUCUAUCUAUCUAUCUAUCUAUGUACCUAUCUAUCUCAUCUAUCAUCUAUAUACAUCUAUCAUCUAUCACCUAUCUGUCUCAAUAUCUGUCAAUCUAUCAUCUAUAUCUAUGUAUUACCUAUCUAUCUCAAUAGCUAGCCAUCAAUAGUCUAUCAUCUAAUCUAUUCAUCCAUCUCUCUCAAUAUCUAUCAAUCAUGGAAUAGCUAUAUCUAUUCAUCUAUCUGUCUACAUCGGGCUUAGAGCACGAAGGGCUCACUACUCUGGGAGAGUAGCUUUGAGGAACACCACCAGUGUCCUCACUGCUACAAGCUUUUUGUUUUUCUCUGGCAGCUGAACAAGCCCAGGCUUGGAGAUGAGCCAUAUGAAAACCAGUGAAGCUCAUGCAACUCACAGACGCUCACUCAUGGACCCCCUGCUCCACCAGCCAUAACUACAGCUUCCAUUGCACAAGAGAUUAAUUUCAACCACUUUCUCCUGGUAAGAGACUCUGACAGUGGGCUGGUUCUAGAUGGUUGACAGAGGCUGCACACUCAGUGCCUCUGUGUCCUGGAACAUUUUGACGGCCAGGCUCAGUGGCUCAUGUCUGUAAUACCAGCACUUUAGGAGGCUGAGAUGGGUGGAUCACUUGACAUCAGGAGUUCAAGACCAGCCUGGCAACCAUGGCAAAACCCUGUCUCUACUAAAAACACAAAAAUUAGCCAGGCACAGUGGCAUGUGCCUGUAAUCCUAGCUACUCAGUAGGCUGAAGCAGGAGAAUUGCUUCAACCUGGGAGGUGGAAGUUGCAGUGAGCCGUGAUGACAUCACUGCACUCCAGCCUGGGCAAACAGAGUGAGACUCUGUCUCAAAAAGAAAAAGAAAAGAGACCAGGUGCAGUGGCUCGUGCCUGUAAUACCAGCACUUUGGAAGGCCGAGGUGGGUGGAUCAUGGGGUCAGGAGAUCGAGACCAUCCUGGCUAACAUGGUGAAACCCUGUCUCUACUGAAAAAAAAAAAAAAUUUAGCCGGGUAUGGUGGUGGGUGCCUGUCGUCCCAGCUACUCGGGAGGCUGAGGCAGGAGAAUGGCAUGAACCUGGGAGGUAGAGGUUGUGGUGAGCCGAGAUCACUCCACUGCACUCCAGCCUGGGUGACAGAGUGAGACUCUAUCUCAAAAAGAAAAAGAAAAGAAAAAAAGAAAACACCUUUUGAUAUAGACAGCCUCAAUGUGAUGCAUUAAAUGUUAAAAGUCUCCGCCCCCAAAGUGAACAUGGAACUUCUGUUACACACAUGUUUGUCCUGUAUGCACGUGUGAGGACACCCUUCAUUGAAAUUCAUAGCUCCUCCUGUAACCUGUUCAAUACAAGUAUGUUUGGUUAUCUCACUCAACAUAAAUUCCCAUCUCUGUCUUUUCUCCUUCAAAACGUCUACUUUUAGUCUCUGGAAGAGGCUACAUUUCCCAGCCUGUUAGGUUGUGUCUUUUCUCCUUUGAAACGUCUACUUUUAGUCUCUGGAAGAGGCUACAUUUCCCAGCCUGUUAGGUUGUGUCUUUUCUCCUUUGAAACGUCUACUUUUAGUCUCUGGAAGAGGCUACAUUUCCCAGCCUGUUAGGCUGUGUCUUUUCUCCUUUGAAACGUCUACUUUUAGUCUCUGCCAGAGGCUAUAUUUCCCAGGCUGUUAGGCUGUGUCUUUUCUCCUUCGAAACGUCUACUUUUAGUCUCUGCCAGAGGCUACAUUUCCCAGCCUGUUAGGCUGUGUCUUUUCUCCUUCGAAAUGUCUACUUUUAGUCUCUGCCAGAGGCUAUAUUUCCCAGCCUGUUAGGCUGUACACAACAAGCUCUCCUCUCCAAAUGUGUACAUUUCAUCAUUUUUUUUCCUUUUAAUGAUGAGAUCUCGGUCCGUCACCCGGGCUGGAAUGCAGUGGUGUGAUCAUAGCUCACUGCAGCCUCCGACUCCUGGGCUCAAACCAUCCUCCCACUUAAACCUCUCAAAGCACUGGGGUGAAAGACACAGCCACCUUGCCCAACCAAUCUCGUGAUUUUAAGUCGACACCUUCCAUUCUCUUGAUGGCACCAAGCACUGGCCUUCAACACCAUGUCUACGGAUGGCUAGCUGAGUCCCUUCUGGGACUCCAGACACCAUUCUCUUAGCUGUCUGUGGUCUGAGACUUCUUCCUGAUUGACACCUGGCUUCCUGCCUUAUAACUUCCUUCACAUGAGUCCUCUGGUCAGUCCCAUGUCACUCCCUGACAACACCCAACAUGGCCAGGUGGAUCCUUCUGGAAUUCCAGGUGAGUAAGUGUUGUGCCUUUGGUGAUAUGGGGGCCCACCUGCUCCUCUGCCUUUUCUCCUGGCUCUUUUGUCCAGGGCUCAACACACCAGAUACAUAAGCAAAGAGAAGAGGCUCCCAGGCUGGGGAGGUCUCCUGUCCAGGGUCUCCUCCUUUGUAAGAGUGUCCUGAGGGUAUAGCAAACAAUGACUCCACACUGGGGGGUACUUAAACAACAGAAAUUCAUCAUCUCCCAGUCCUGGAGGUGAACAGUCUGAGAUUAAGGUGCGGGCAGGCCCAAGGUAUUAGUCUGUUCUCACGCUGCUAAUAAAAAUGUACCUGGCAGGGUGCAGUGGCUCAAGCCUGUAAUCCCAGCACACUGGGAGGCUGAGGCAGGUGGAUCACCUGAGGUCAGGCGUUCAAGACCAUCCUAGAGCCAACAUGAUGAAACCCCAUCUCUACUGAAAAUACAAAAAUUAGCCUGGCGUGGUGGUGGGUACCUGUAGUCCCAGCUA
rnacentral:lncRNA from 10 species